AGUGAACGCUGGCGGCGUGCCUAAUACAUGCAAGUCGAACGCAGUGUCGCACGGGUGAGUAAUGUAUAGCUCAUCUGUCCUUCACUAGAGGACAACACUUGGCAACGGCUGCUAAUACUCAAUAGUGUAGGAUGAGGCUAUAUUGUAUCAGCUAGUUGGUGAGGUAAUGGCUCACCAAGGCUAUGACGCAUAACUGGGCUGAGAGGAUGAUCAGUCACACUGGAACUGAGAAACGGUACAGACUCCUACGGCAUGGACCGGUGGGGCAUAUGGCUAAAAGGGGGAAAUACUGAAGCCGCGACGCAGCGGGAGAGAUGAGAGUUUUCGGGGCGUAAAGUCCUUUGGAUAAAGAAACGGUACCGAACGAGUAAGGGCCGGCUAACGCCGUGCCAGCAGCCGCGGUAAUUC
rnacentral:rRNA from 1 species